UUAAAGUAUUAACAACGAUUUUUUUAAACCCUAAUUUGAGGUUUAACUUAGGGUCGGUUUGUAUGUUGGAAAAAGAGCAAAAAAUCCAACACGUAUUGACAUUAGAUUACCAUGGUUGCUUAUUAAGUAUAACAUAAUUUUAUAAUCCUGAAUCUUUUUGCAGAUGGAGAUAGAAUUGAAUUAGAUAAAGCGUUAAAGAGACCUUGCAGAAUCACAACUAGAAAUAGGGCAGUUGCUUCAGAUAGAUUUGUGAAGGUGGGCCUGCCAACAUGAGCUUGAAAUCAAAUAUGCUUAUGAACAUGUUUGGGGGACUUGAAACUGGUGGCUUCACAAUGCCAAACAAUACAAAUGGAGAUGUGGUGGGGUCGCCAAUAAACACGACGGAGUGUGACUGUGGAAUGAAUGAUUCCGAUGUUGAUAUGGACAAAAAGAAACGAAGUGGCUUAGAGAAAUCUUUUUUGUUGAUAACCUCAGACCAAUCAAUCGACUAUUGAUUAAUACGUAAUCGAUUGAACACUACUUGAAAAUGACUCUUCUGCUCAGAAACGAAAUGUUCCUGGAAAUUCUUGCUCCCAGUGGACUAUUUGUAUCUAUAUGCAUCAGGAUCCCGAUUCAUGGAUCUCUUGGUUCGAGAAAAAAAAAUAAGAGUAUCAAACCAUCUCUUCUGACUCUUUUUCAAAUUCGAUAAAUGUUGGUUGAUCAUAUAUUUCAUUAGAGUUCCAUGAUUAAGAGUAUCCUUUCCUAUUUGAUUCCUUUGAAUUCCAUAUUUGAAGUUGCGACCGGAUCUAUUCAUUAAAAAAAUUGAUUCAAUACAUUUCUUAUGUACCUAUGGGUGCUCUGAUGGAUUUGAAUAAGAUUUUGGAUCAA